CUUCUAGCAGUCUGUUUAAACAUCAAUACUCCAAAAGUAUGUAAAGCAGAACCAUCUGACUUAUUGCCCACAGUGAAUGUAAUUCAUAACUUUAUGCCAGAAAUUUACAAUCCCCUUUCGUGUAUAAAAAGUUUCCUGUCACGGUUUUACAUCUACUCCAUGGCUCUGCUCUGGAUGGAAACACUUGGUGUAAUCUCUUUAGAGAUAAAUAAGCCCUCUGCUGAAAGUUAAAUGAUGCCAUUAUUUUCUGGAUGUUUAUAGACAUCAUCCUGCCUCGCUCCCAUGCCUGGAUCCAAGACAGCCCGAAUCUUUGUUUUCCAUUUCCGAAAGCUCUGGAGGAGAGAAUGAACAUGAGUGUGUAGGAGGGGCAGAGGGGCAGGCAAGGCGAGCCAGCGCUGGUUUCACACACAAACGUGAAGAGCCAAGUGGCAGAUGAUGGACACCCCAGCUGCUUCCUUGGCCAGGAGCGUGUUUAGUCUAGGAUGCAGCCUGGAUCCUAGCAGGGCUGGGAAAGGAGACGACAAUUGCAAGAGACACGGGGAACAGGACCGGGACUCCAGCCACAGGGAAGGAAACCUUCACUGUGUAAAGCUGCUUGAGCAUGGCUGUGCUCCUCAAAGCUAUCCAGAUACAUGCAGUGAGGAUGGUUUGGACAUGCUGCACCCAUGCAUCACAUCCAUCCCAUGA
rnacentral:lncRNA from 1 species